UACGGGGGGGGCAAGCGUUGUUCGGAAUUACUGGGCGUAAAGGGCGCGUAGGCGGCCUUCUAAGUCAGACGUGAAAUCCCCCGGCUUAACCCAGGAACUGCGUCCGAUACUGGAAGGCUUGAAUCCGGGAGAGGGAUGCGGAAUUCCAGGUGUAGCGGUGAAAUGCGUAGAUAUCUGGAGGAACACCGGUGGCGAAGGCGGCAUCCUGGACCGGUAUUGACGCUGAGGCGCGAAAGCCAGGGGAGCAAACGGG
rnacentral:rRNA from 1 species